GAAAAAGUGUGUGAUGUUUUUUGUUUUUUGCACCAUUCUGUGUAAACCCUAGAGAGUGUUGUAUGUGAAAAUCCCAGGAGAUGAUGCAUGAUUUUAUGCACUGCACUGCUGCCACAUGAUUGGCUGAUUAGAUAACUGUAUGAAUGAGCAGGUGUACAAGUGUUCCUAUUAAAGUGGACAGUGAGCGCUAUUGAUUGUGGUGAUUUUGUUUUAUUAAUCAGUUAUAAGUUUAAUCAAUAUACCAUCAUACACUGCUGUGUUUUAAAUCAUGUAUUAGCCAGAACAUAUUCAGAAGAGGAACCUUGAUAACCCUCAUGUUGUUCAUGUUGUACAGGCGUGUUUGGGGAAGAUGCCAGCCUCUGAGGCAAUCUUACCCACAGGCUUUGUGUAGCUUUGUGUCAAGUCAAGUGGGUUUUUAUUGACAGGAGUCUCUGUAGCCAGUCUCCAUCAGAAGGAAAUGUGGUUUCUCCAGGACCAUGGUGCAACGCAGUACAGUAUGCAAGACCACAUGAAGUAAUGCCAUGCAGGAUGUCCCGAACCAUAUACAGUAUAAUCUUGCUACCUUCAGAGGUUUUCUUCAUAUGCUUCAGUGUGGUGAGGAAAUCCUCUCUAGCAUCCUGAAAAAAGUCACUGACAUUUCUUCUAUAAACCAGGAACCCGCUUAAUACCUGAAACUGCUUGAGAAAAGACACGGAGAAACGGUUCUGUAAAAUGGCUGACAUUCUAUAAUAAUGUACAUUUUGCGUGUGUAAGAGAAAGAGAGAGAGAAGAGUGAGAGAAGAGAGAGAGAGGUGCUUUGAAGUAGACAGGAAAUUUGAUUUUGCUUUGCUGGUCAUGUGGUUUUGAACUUUAAUAGCAAGCUGAGAACAAGAGUUACCAUUUGUUCCAAAAGCUCGAGAUGGAAUUGUACCUGUUCUUCCUUCUGCUGUCUUACGCAAAUAUAUAUAUUGUUUCUACUGAUUUGUCUGAUAAAACUCACCCCAAAUAUUGACCAUCAGAGAGAAAGGCAGCAUUUCACUGAAGUGCGUCUUCACCGGUCAUGAGGAGGUGGCCUGGUAUCGUCUGAGUUCCUACACGUUAACACUUCUGAUCUCAGCACAGAAAAGUCACGCUGAAAAUAGCCUCCCUGUUUAUUACAACAAAUAUGACAGUCGUUUUGUACUGAGGCCAAACAGCGACAUUACCACAGCUGAAUUCACCAUCAUGAACCUCACGAAGGAGGAUCUGGGGGUUUAUUUCUGCGGAAUUACAGCCAAGCCGGCACAGAUGCAUUUUGGUCGUGCUACCAUACUGCAGUUUGAAGAUAAAAAGGAAGAGACAACGACUGAAACCUCCUCUACCCAAAAACCACCAGGAGAAGAAGUGGAGAAUAAGGAUAAAGCGAGUGUAUGUGAGAAAGUGUUGAUGUUUGGUGGUGUGGGCGUGGCCGCUCUGCUCCUCAUCCUCACUACAGUAGUUGCAUGUACUGUGAUCAGACCCACAAAAAAAAUUCUGAAAAGAAUUGCGAGCUAAAGGUUUUUGGUUUUGCUAAUAGAUUAAGAGACGAGUUUUAAGAUCAAUCAGGAUUAACAAUUGCAAAGGCUAACUUUUUUUUUAAUUAACUCUGUAAUGAGAUAGUUUGAUAUUCUUUUUUUCAUUGUUCAGUUAAGUUUAUCUUCACCACUAGAGGUCUCUGUCUUUUCACUACUGACUCUUAAUGCUCAUUCCACCUGUUCCAGGUUUCUGUUUCUCAUGUUUUUGUUCAAGAAUCAGAUAUAUAUAUUAUUUUACUGUCUCUACUUCACAAAUAAAACAGACUGAAAAUAG